rnacentral:rRNA from 2 species
GGGUUGUGAGGUUAAGCGACUAAGCGUACACGGUGGAUGCCCUGGCAGUCAGAGGCGAUGAAGGGCGUGCUAAUCUGCGAUAAGCGCCGGUAAGGUGAUAUGAACCGUUAUAACCGGCGAUACCCGAAUGGGGAAACCCAGUGUGAUUCGUCACACUAUCAUUAACUGAAUCCAUAGGUUAAUGAGGCGAACCGGGGGAACUGAAACAUCUAAGUACCCCGAGGAAAAGAAAUCAACCGAGAUUCCCCCAGUAGCGGCGAGCGAACGGGGAGGAGCCCAGAGCCUGAAUCAGCAUGUGUGUUAGUGGAAGCGUCUGGAAAGGCGCGCGAUACAGGGUGACAGCCCCGUACACAAAAGCGCAUGUGCUGUGAGCUCGAUGAGUAGGGCGGGACACGUGGUAUCCUGUCUGAAUAUGGGGGGACCAUCCUCCAAGGCUAAAUACUCCUGACUGACCGAUAGUGAACCAGUACCGUGAGGGAAAGGCGAAAAGAACCCCGGCGAGGGGAGUGAAAAAGAACCUGAAACCGUGUACGUACAAGCAGUGGGAGCACAGGUUUACCUGUGUGACUGCGUACCUUUUGUAUAAUGGGUCAGCGACUUAUAUUCUGUAGCAAGGUUAACCGUAUAGGGGAGCCGUAGGGAAACCGAGUCUUAACCGGGCGUUAAGUUGCAGGGUAUAGACCCGAAACCCGGUGAUCUAGCCAUGGGCAGGUUGAAGGUUGGGUAACACUAACUGGAGGACCGAACCGACUAAUGUUGAAAAAUUAGCGGAUGACCUGUGGCUGGGGGUGAAAGGCCAAUCAAACCGGGAGAUAGCUGGUUCUCCCCGAAAGCUAUUUAGGUAGCGCCUCGUGAAUUCAUCUCCGGGGGUAGAGCACUGUUUCGGCUAGGGGGCCAUCCCGGCUUACCAACCCGAUGCAAACUGCGAAUACCGGAGAAUGUUAUCACGGGAGACACACGGCGGGUGCUAACGUCCGUCGUGAAGAGGGAAACAACCCAGACCGCCAGCUAAGGUCCCAAAGUCAUGGUUAAGUGGGAAACGAUGUGGGAAGGCCCAGACAGCCAGGAUGUUGGCUUAGAAGCAGCCAUCAUUUAAAGAAAGCGUAAUAGCUCACUGGUCGAGUCGGCCUGCGCGGAAGAUGUAACGGGGCUAAACCAUGCACCGAAGCUGCGGCAGCGACACUGUGUGUUGUUGGGUAGGGGAGCGUUCUGUAAGCCUGUGAAGGUGGCCUGUGAGGGUUGCUGGAGGUAUCAGAAGUGCGAAUGCUGACAUAAGUAACGAUAAAGCGGGUGAAAAGCCCGCUCGCCGGAAGACCAAGGGUUCCUGUCCAACGUUAAUCGGGGCAGGGUGAGUCGACCCCUAAGGCGAGGCCGAAAGGCGUAGUCGAUGGGAAACGGGUUAAUAUUCCCGUACUUGGUGUUACUGCGAAGGGGGGACGGAGAAGGCUAUGUUGGCCGGGCGACGGUUGUCCCGGUUUAAGCGUGUAGGUGUGUGUUCCAGGUAAAUCCGGUUCACUUUAACACUGAGGCGUGACGACGAGGCACUACGGUGCUGAAGCAACAAAUGCCCUGCUUCCAGGAAAAGCCUCUAAGCAUCAGGUAACAUCAAAUCGUACCCCAAACCGACACAGGUGGUCAGGUAGAGAAUACCAAGGCGCUUGAGAGAACUCGGGUGAAGGAACUAGGCAAAAUGGUGCCGUAACUUCGGGAGAAGGCACGCUGACACGUAGGUGAAGUGAUUUACUCAUGGAGCUGAAGUCAGUCGAAGAUACCAGCUGGCUGCAACUGUUUAUUAAAAACACAGCACUGUGCAAACACGAAAGUGGACGUAUACGGUGUGACGCCUGCCCGGUGCCGGAAGGUUAAUUGAUGGGGUCAGCGCAAGCGAAGCUCCUGAUCGAAGCCCCGGUAAACGGCGGCCGUAACUAUAACGGUCCUAAGGUAGCGAAAUUCCUUGUCGGGUAAGUUCCGACCUGCACGAAUGGCGUAAUGAUGGCCAGGCUGUCUCCACCCGAGACUCAGUGAAAUUGAACUCGCUGUGAAGAUGCAGUGUACCCGCGGCAAGACGGAAAGACCCCGUGAACCUUUACUAUAGCUUGACACUGAACAUUGAGCCUUGAUGUGUAGGAUAGGUGGGAGGCUUUGAAGCGUGGACGCCAGUCUGCGUGGAGCCAACCUUGAAAUACCACCCUUUAAUGUUUGAUGUUCUAACGUGGACCCGUAAUCCGGGUUGCGGACAGUGUCUGGUGGGUAGUUUGACUGGGGCGGUCUCCUCCUAAAGAGUAACGGAGGAGCACGAAGGUUGGCUAAUCCUGGUCGGACAUCAGGAGGUUAGUGCAAUGGCAUAAGCCAGCUUGACUGCGAGCGUGACGGCGCGAGCAGGUGCGAAAGCAGGUCAUAGUGAUCCGGUGGUUCUGAAUGGAAGGGCCAUCGCUCAACGGAUAAAAGGUACUCCGGGGAUAACAGGCUGAUACCGCCCAAGAGUUCAUAUCGACGGCGGUGUUUGGCACCUCGAUGUCGGCUCAUCACAUCCUGGGGCUGAAGUAGGUCCCAAGGGUAUGGCUGUUCGCCAUUUAAAGUGGUACGCGAGCUGGGUUUAGAACGUCGUGAGACAGUUCGGUCCCUAUCUGCCGUGGGCGCUGGAGAACUGAGGGGGGCUGCUCCUAGUACGAGAGGACCGGAGUGGACGCAUCACUGGUGUUCGGGUUGUCAUGCCAAUGGCACUGCCCGGUAGCUAAAUGCGGAAGAGAUAAGUGCUGAAAGCAUCUAAGCACGAAACUUGCCCCGAGAUGAGUUCUCCCUGAGACUUAGAGUCUCCUGAAGGAACGUUGAAGACGACGACGUUGAUAGGCCGGGUGUGUAAGCGCAGCGAUGCGUUGAGCUAACCGGUACUAAUGAACCGUGAGGCUUAACCUUACAACGCCGAAG